UGACAAGAUAGUUUAAGAGUAAAACAAUAGGGUGUGGUCCUAUAUAUAUGCCCACGAGGUUUUCUUGUUAA
rnacentral:tRNA from 1 species